rnacentral:rRNA from 1 species
UACGUAGGGUGCGAGCGUUAAUCGGAAUUACUGGGCGUAAAGCGUGCGCAGGCGGCGCCGCAAGUCAGGCGUGAAAUCCCCAAGCUUAACUUGGGAAUGGCGCUUGAAACUACGGUGCUGGAGUGUGGCAGAGGGAGGUGGAAUUCCACGUGUAGCGGUGAAAUGCGUAGAUAUCUGGAGGAACACCGGUGGCGAAGGCGGCAUCCUGGACCGGCAUUGACGCCGAGGCGCGAAAGCCAGGGGAGCAAACGGG